rnacentral:lncRNA from 1 species
UGUGGCUGCUUCUGAUGCUAUGGAAGGUGAAACACAACAAAGUAUAAGGGCAGCCGGGUGAAGGAUUUGUCAAAUGCAUUAAACCCUGGGAGAGCAGAGGACACCGUAAUGGGGGGAGACAAAUCACCAUGAAGGGAAUGACUUCCCAGAGUAUAACAGCUGGACAGAAUUCAAGGUCAGACUUGGCAGGUUUGUCAAGCUCAGAACACUUAGCAGGAAAUUUGGGGCUUUCUGAACAGACUGGGCCAACCCUCCAGUUAGAGCUCACUAGUGUGGAAUCAGAUUCUCUUAGGAGCUUUUAUCAUCACAACGAGAAGUUCAGUGCCCCAGGCCCUCAAGCCAGUGUGGAAUUGUCACAGGGUCUGCGUACAUUAGAAAUGAUGAACAUAGAUUGGAAGGGUGCUUGGGGUGAAAAUUUGAAGGAUCUGGAAUAUUUCAUUGUAUUUAUAAAGAAGUCAUGUUGCCCUACUGAGCCCCAUGGAACUGUGCAAAGUAAAACUUCCAAACCUUUCCCUUUGAAGAGGAGCCAGACAUGGCCACAGAAAGAUAAAAUAUGGAUCAAAGAACAAAGCCAUAGUACAGACAUUCCCUCAAGCCCUGUUACAGACUCUAAGGAUGAACGUAAGAGUGCUGAAAUACAUGAGGACCUAGGAGAGAACCCUAAGCCUCUGUCUAAGAGAAUUUCCAAGCCAAGAAUCACUUUGGAAGUUGGCCCAACUGGAUGGAAUCAGAGAACAACAGAGUUUACCCACAGUUAGGGGAAGGUGGGAUGGGAAGGAGCCUCAGAGUCCCCUUUGUCUCUAAGACCAGAUGUCUCUUCACUGGAAAAUACUUAGUCCUUUGGUAAGAGUCAUGACCUCAGUUGUGGCCUCCUGCAUGAAGUGGUAGAGAACCAUGGUAGAUGGACUUGGGAGCACUGGAGGCAGACUCAUCAACCAAGAAGAAUUGGUGGGUCAUUGAAGGGUCAACACAUUUCUUCACCACCUUCCUCUGUUAAGGUAGAUUAGGGACGUCUCAGCCACUAAGUUAAUGCGCUGUGUGUGUGUGUGUGUGUGUGUGUGUGUGUGUUUGUGUGUUUUUCUCCAGGAUUGAAUUGGGCUCUUUGAUAUAGAGGAUGAACUUUCCUAGAGCUGACUCUUCUCUCUGUUUUCUAAUUUUUGAAUUCAACAUAAGUUCAAAUACCCCAGCAUAUGAGAUUAAGCUCUUUGCUUGGGUUAUUGUCUCUGAAUUUAAACCCAUUUACAUUGCACAUAAUAAAUACUGUCGACUUGACUAA